CCUGGCCAGGCUCACCUGGGGCCUCACCUGCCCAGGGAUGGAGGGAACUUCAGAAACUCAGCUCUGGGCCACAGCCAGGCUUCUCUUUCUCCUCUCUCUGAGAGUUUAGCAAUGCAGCUGCAUAAAAACUUAACAAUUCUUCCUUAGAGAGUGAUAAGAAGAGGUAAUGGGACACAAAGAAAAAUUCCAUCCUUGAUCAUAUCAUCCUGUGCUGAUGGUACAAGAUUCCAUGAGAGAAGCGAAAGGGAAAAUCCUAACCCCCAACAUUGGGGCUGGAAGAAGCCACUUCUGCCCAGAUCCCUCUUGAAGGCCACAGCCCUGAAGUCCCUGCACAGGCAGCCCUGAGUCUCCAGGGACAAUGACAGGGCCGAAAGAGCUCUGGGCAGGGCACUCGUCAUGAAGCCCUUCAAACACAGGUGGGGUGAAACAAUGACCUUUGGAAAACGUUGGGUACAUUUGGUGCGAAUGGAAUGAAACCAUUUCUCAUCUAUUGAUGUUAUAAUUUUGC